rnacentral:rRNA from 1 species
CUAACCAGGAUUCCCCUAGUAACGGCGAGUGAAGAGGGAAAAGCCCAGCACCGAAGCCUGCGGCAGUUUUGCUGUUAGGCAAUGUGGUGUUUGGGCCGGCUCGUGGGAUUGCCACUCCACUCGAAGUCCAGCAUUGAGUAUGGUCCCCUGGACUUGGCCCAGAGAGGGUGAAAGGCCCGUGCGAGUGGAUGUUUCAGACAUGUAAGGCAAUUCACCAGGCCGGCCUUAGAGUCGGGUUGUUUGAGAAUGCAGCCCUAAGUGGGUGGUAAACUCCAUCCAAGGCUAAAUACAAGCACGAGUCCGAUAGCGAACAAGUACCGUGAGGGAAAGUUGAAAAGUACUUUGAAGAGAGAGUAAACAGCACGUGAAACCGCAUAGAGGUAAACGGGUGGCGUCAAGCUGCAAGCCCAGAGGAUUCAGUCGGUCAGGAUGUUGUGUAUGCGCCUGGCGCAUCUAUCAGUCGGUGUUAGAUCGGGCAGUCCGCCGGGAAACGGUGGGCCCACCGCAAGGUUGGGAUUUGCGUUCCGGGUGACUGCCGGAGCAUGCUGCCUAUCUGUUGGACUGUCUGGCCGAUGCACUUCCUCUGUUAUGGUGAACACCACGACCGGUGGUACUGCCAGUCUGUUGUGGCCAAGUUGUAUCUAGUUGGCAUUUAUUGUCAUUUGGGUGCAAUCACAGGCGAUGUCAUUGUCCGGCGUUCGGGCGUUCGCGUCAGUUCGUGUUAUCGGGCUUUGCUCGUCAACGGGUCGGUUCGUCGGUUGUGCAAUCGCCGGCGGAUGGCCUGGUGGGCCAUGAUGGUAAGAAUAACUGUGCAGGGCACCGGAGUUGUCGGUCUCUAAUCUGGCUCGUGCACACAUUGUCUGUGGUGCGCGGGGCGUCAUUGCGGCCUGCCUGUGGUUGGGUCUGAUUGUCGUGUUGCCUGCGCAAAGUAGGCCCGACUUUGGCCUGAUUCGGGUUGGAGUCGUAGAUGGGGUCUCCUGCAUGAGUUGGUGUGGACCAAACAGUCUGUGGUGUAGUGGUAGACUAGCCACCCGACCCGUCUUGAAACACGGACCAAGGAGUUUAACAUGCGCGCGAGUCAAUGGGUCCUACGAAACCCAAAGGCGCAAUGAAAGUGAAGCCUCGACUUGUUCUCGGGGUGUGGUGAGAUCCUGCUGUUACUCGCAUCUGCACUUGUGCAUUGUGUCAGCACCAGGCAAAAGAGCGGCAGGCGCAUCACCGGCCCGUCCCAUGAUGUGGUCAUUGGUCGGUUGUUGUCGUGGGUUUCGGCCUGUGGCGGCAGCUCCAGUGCGUCAUCGGGGCGGAGC